AUUGAACGCUGGCGGCAGGCCUAACACAUGCAAGUCGAGCGGGGUUUUCGGACCUAGCGGCGGACGGGUGAGUAAUGCGUAGGAAGCUACCCGAUAGAGGGGGAUACCAGUUGGAAACGACUGUUAAUACCGCAUAAUGUCUACGGACCAAAGUGUGGGACCUUCGGGCCACAUGCUAUCGGAUGCGCCUACGUGGGAUUAGCUAGUUGUUGAGGUAAUGGCUCACCAAGGCGACGAUCCCUAGCUGGUUUGAGAGGAUGAUCAGCCACACUGGAACUGGGACACGGUCCAGACUCCUACGGGAGUCAGCAGUGGGGAAUAUUGGACAAUGGGCGCAAGCCUGAUCCAGCCAUGCCGCGUGUGUGAAGAAGGCCUUCGGGUUGUAAAGCACUUUCAGUAGGGAGGAAGCGUUGUGUGUUAAUAGUACACAGCGUUGACGUUACCUACAGAAGAAGCACCGGCUAACUCUGUGCCAGCCGCCGCAGUAAGAC
rnacentral:rRNA from 1 species